rnacentral:lncRNA from 1 species
GGCCAGGCGGGCCACAGUGGCUGCUGCAGGCGCCACCCUUAAAGGGAAAGCCUGCUUUCCCAGCCAGCUCCCGGGGAACUGGGGAAGGGCGACUACCCUCAGCAGGGCAGGCCUUACCCUCGGGGGUGAAGUAGGAAGACCCCCCCACCUGGGGUGGCUUGAUGUGUGCCCCAAAAUGUGCCUGGAGCUUCAGUGAGAGCUGCUCUGCGCUUGGUGGCUGACCCUGGGCGGGAGGAUGUCGCUGCUCCUGCUGCUCCAAGGAGCUCAUGGUCUGAUUGGAGGAGACAGACCUCCGAUGAGUAAACCACCAAGCUGGACAGUGAUAACUCCCAGAAAAAGCGGACCCAGCCUCAUGGAGCGUCGUGACAAGGCAGGCGAGUGGGUGACUGGCACAGGCACUGCGCAGGGAUUCACAGCUGGCUGCCCAGUGACUCCACAGCCUGCUGCACUCCGGAGGGACCCUGGGUCUGCGGAGACACCAGGCUGAGAUUUCUCUGGCUGUGCCAUCUUCAGGGAGGCGGUGCCCAGGGGAGUGUGGCAGGAAACACCAGGCCCGGGGCUGCACCUCCUGAGCACUGUAGCUCCUAAACCCACCCGCUGAAGCUCCACAAAUAACCCCAAAGAGGAACGGAGAUCAAUGCACUGCCCUAUUGACAAAACCUCAGCCGUAAUGCAGAUAGCUCUCACGUUUUUAUUGUGUUCAUGUAUGUUGAUUCAUAGCGGUUUUGUCAAUAAAAAACACCACACAAAGUCUCACAGUAAAAACGUCACCAAAAAUUAUUUAUUGCUAUGAUAACAGCAAAUUAUAUAUUGAAGGAAAUUUGUGGCGUUGGGUGGGACAGAGGCUGGUGGCAUCGUUGGCGGAGAAAGGGCCCCUGUAAGCCUGCACUGUGGCCCCACCAUCACCUGAGUACACCCUCUGCCCAGCCCCAAUGCAGGGCC